UUCUCAGCAGCGGAAAAGCUCCGUGUUUAACAAAACUAUCGAGAGAUUCACGGUGCGAGGGGAAAAAGCCGGAGCUGCCCGAGCGCCGCGCAUCUCCCCUGCGCGCUCCCACGGCGCCCGGCCGGAUCCAGUCCCUCUCCCCUUUGCUCUUUGCCCCGCCGGGGGGUUAGCAAACCCAUCUCGCUUGGUCAAAGCUCGUCCCAACCCUCGCCCCCCCCCAGGGAGCCGGCAUUUUGCAGGUGGGGUCGGGGCAGGACCUCCCGACCCAAAACCGAGCAGCCCCCCCUUCACCCGGCGGGGGCAGCUGCGCGGAAAGUAGAGCUCCUGGGAGGAAAUUUCAAUCUCCCCACCCCACCCUUGCAACACCCACGACCCCCUCGCCUGGAGGGAGGAAAACGGGGAAAGAAAGGAUGGGUGCUGGCACAGCCCUGUGUAGGCUGCCCCUGCCUCAGGGCACCUCCUGUCCCCGCUGCCCCCCCGGGUCGGAUCCAGCCGGGGGAGGCCGGGGGCAUCCCCCCAGCUCCCGUCCUAUCUCAUUUGGGCUCUCCCCAAACCUGGGGAAAGGAAAUGCCGGCCGCCACUUGCAGCGCAGUCGGGUCGUUUUUUUUUCUUUAUUUUUUUCCCUUCCCCCCCUCCCCCUUUUUUUCCAUUAGCAGCAACAACAAAAAUACUCCAACGCCGUACAUGCGGGCGGAGUAAAUUCAGCCCGGUGCUGUUCUAUGGCCCUUUUGUUCCCGGCGGGGCGGAUGAGGGGGUUGGGCACCCCCCCAGCCCUGUCCUCCCCCAACCUUGCGGGACGGGGUGCAGCCCUCCCCUCCUCUCGGCGAAGCAGGGCAGUGAUAAAAGCAUACAGGGCUCUGAAAGGCUUUGAUUGAAAUGGCGUGUGCCAAGCUGAUGGGAGCCAGCGAGGGACAAAGCAGCGAGGAGACAUGGACACUCGAGCAAUUAUUCCUCCACGCUGAAGGUGGAUUAGUGCAAUGGAAAGAAGCAUAUGUUCGGCCUGGGGCGACACUCCCCCCGGCUGGGUUUAGAGAAUGAGAGUGGAGAAAGAGGCUGAACCUGGAAUAUCAACUAUCCGGGAGACAGCCCUCCCAACCCCCUCCUCUCUCAGCCUCUCCAAAAGUCGCAGGGAUGGUGAGAUAAAUACACCCGCCUGCAGAGACGAAGGGACACCCACAGACACCCAUGGACAAGGGUGGAGGCACCCACACCUCUGCACACAGCCACCUGCCUACGCGCCUUCAAGCACGCCCACAUGGACGGACAGAGGGACACCCCGGACGGAAAGCCUCCCUGGGUGUGAUGAUGUGAACAAACAAGCAGCCAGCCUCUAAGAGGCUCUUAGCAGCAGCCAGUGCUCUCCUGAAGGCUCCAGUUUCCCCAGUGCCUUCCCAAGAAACUUUCCAGAGGCAGUUGCAGCGAGGGAUGGGGUUAUCUCCAACCCCUCACAGCCCUGUCUGGGCUACAGGGAAGGCUUGAGGCAAAACCCUUUUCCAUCAGAUUUUCUCCCGCUCCCCAGCUCCCUGCAAAAUCCUGUCCUUCCCAGUCAGGUGGCUGCACAGGGAGUGCACAGGGAUAGGGAGAAACCCCCUUGGCCAGCCUGAGCCCACACAACAGACCUAGAGAUCAUCCUGCCCCCCGGCUCUAUGGCAAUAGGAAAACCCAUCUGCUAAGAGCCCAAACCUGGGCAGGGACAGCAUGAGCACAUUUUUGGCAUGUUUACACUCCAGCUCUUUGGAUCUACAGGGGAGCGGGGAGCUGAGGCCACAGCAGGGGCUCUCCCCAACUAAAGUCCAGGCCACCCCACUUGCAGAGCAGAAAGACAAUCCCCAAGCAGGAGAGGAAGGGCCAUGGCAGAGACAGGACUAGCAGUGGGAGCAGCAGCCAGGGAGAGGGUGAGGAAGGAGUGCUGGAGCUGGGAGGCAGCCAGCAGGCUCAGGAAGGGAGCAGGAGAGAGGAUCAGGAAGGCAGCUCCCUCCUUCCCCACAGCCCCAAGCACCAUGGAAAACGUGUGCCAUGCAUUUCACACCUCUGCUUCUUUAUCCUCGGCUUUGGGCUUGGGGCAGAUUUCACACAGAGAGGAGGGGGCAGCUGUGCCCAGAGCAGCACAGGGCAGGAGUCCUGCAGGACCAACAAGCCAGUAGGAGCACAACCAAAAUCAUGAUGGUGAAGUAACAUACAUCCCUAAGCCUGAGAGCCCAACUGCAUGGCCCACGCUCCUGCCAGAAAACAACUCUCUGUUCAGAGCCCCCCCCAUCUGCUUCCAAUAGACUUACAAAGGGAUUUAACCACACCACAGGCAAGAGCAGCACAGCUCAAGAGUAUCUCUGGACAGGAAAGGUCUUCACACAGCUCCUGUAAUGUCCUGUGGAAACUAGGACUGGGGUGUGUGCACAUCUCACUUGAGCAACAACGCUCAUUUCACAGCCGGCAGCCCUUCACCUCACUGCUCUGAAAACAAGACAAUUCCUUCUGCACCCGAGACAUGCUUUCCUCCACCUGGUCUGAAGGUAUCUGUGCAAACAAGUGACUAUGAGCAGACUAAUAAUUGCAGAGCUUGUGGUGAUCUUUGGGUGCCAGUACCUAUCUUGAAAAAAAAAAGCAA